rnacentral:rRNA from 1 species
AUGAACGUUGGCGGCGGUGGAAUUAGGGCCAUGCAAGUCGUACGGGCCGGCAAGGCCCAGUUGGCGCAAAGGGUGAUUAAGGCGACGGUAACCAACCCCAGAGGUGGGUAUAGCCGCGGGGAAACUGCGGGUAAUCCCCAGCGACGGCGUGAGGGCCGGCAUCGGCCUCCCGCCAAAAGCUCCCGGCGCUCUGGGACGGGCCCGUCGUGGUAUUAGGUAGUUGGCGGGGGGUAACGGCCCACCAAGCCUGCGGAUGCCUACCGGGGCGUGCGAGGCGUGGCCCGGCACACUGGGACUGAGGACACUGCCCAGACUCCUACGGGAGGCUUGCAGUCGAGAAUCUUCGGCAAUGGGCGCAAGCCUGACCGAGCGACGGCCGCGUGGAGGACGAAGGGCCCUUCGGGUUGUAAACUCCUGUCGAGGGGAAAGGAAGGCCCCGCAAGGGGGCUUGACUGAUCCCUGGAGGAAGCACGGGCCUAAGGUUUCGUUGCCAGCAGCCGCCGGGUAAGGACGAACCGUGCGAACGUUAUUCGGAAUCCACUGGGCCUUAAAGCGCGGUGUAGGUGGAAGGGCACGUCUGUCGCUGAAAAUCCCCCGGCUCAACCGGGGAACUGGCGGCGGAUACGAACUCUUCUCCGAGGAAACGUAGGGGGGACCUGGAAACUUCCGGUGGAGCGUGAAUAAUGCGUUGAGGGAAUCGGAAGGAAACGCCCGUGGCGAAAAGCGAGGGUCCUGGACGUUUACUGACACUGAGACGCGGGGAAGAAAGCCAGGGGAGCGAACGGGAUUAGAUACCCCGGUAGUCCUGGCCGUAAACGAUGGGCACUAGGUAGGGGGCUCGCCGAAUGGGCUCCCUGCCGUAGGGAAACCCGUGAAGUGCCCCGCCUGGGGAGUAUGGUUCCGCAAGGCUGAAACUCAAAAGGAAUUGACGGGGGGCUCACAACAAGCGGUGGAGUAUGUGGCUUAAUUCGAGGCUACGCGCAAAACCUUAUUCCCAGGCUUGACAUGCACGGAUUAGCCGGCGGAGGAAACGUCGGUGAGGCCGCAAGGUAACAACGUGCACAGGUGGCUGCAUGGCUUGUCGUCAGCUCGUGCCGUGAGGUGUUGGGUUAAGUCCCCGUAACGAGCGAAACCCCUGUGUCUAGUUGCCCAGCGCGUCAUGGCGGGAAACUCUAGAACAGACCGCCGGCGUUAAUCUAGAGGCCGGAGGAAGGCGGGGAUGACGUCAAGUCCCUCAUGGCCCUUAUGCUUGGGGCUGCAACACGUACUACAAUGGGGCGGAACAGAGGCGUUUGCCAGUCCCGUAAGGACGCGGCUAAUCGCAAAAAAACCGUCCCCUCAGUUCGGGAUUGUGGGCUGCAACCCGCCCACAUGAAGCUGGAAUCGCUAGUAAUCGCGGAUCAGCAUGCCGCGGUGAAUGUGUUCCUGAGCCUUGUACACACCGCCCGUCAAGCCACCAACAAGCGGGGGGCCAUCCCGAAGUCCGCCGGAGCCGCAAGGGCAGGCGGCCGAAGAUGAAACCCGUGAUGGGGACU